rnacentral:rRNA from 1 species
AUUCGCCCGCCGCGCGCGGCGGGCGGGGCGGGGGCACGGGGGGCCUACGGGAGGCAGCAGUGAGGAAUAUUGGUCAAUGGGCGAGAGCCUGAACCAGCCAAGUAGCGUGCAGGACGACUGCCCUAUGGGUUGUAAACUGCUUUUAUAGGGGAAUAAAGUGAGGAACGUGUUCCUUUUUGUAUGUACCCUAUGAAUAAGGACCGGCUAAUUCCGUGCCAGCAGCCGCGGUA